GACGAACGCUGGCGGCGUGCUUAACACAUGCAAGUCGAACGGAAAGGCCUCUUUCAGGGGGUACUCGAGUGGCGAACGGGUGAGUAACACGUGAGUAACCUGCCCUUGACUUUGGGAUAACUUCAGGAAACUGGGGCUAAUACCGGAUAGGAGCUCCUGCUGCAUGGUGGGGGUUGGAAAGUUUCGGCGGUUGGGGAUGGACUCGCGGCUUAUCAGCUUGUUGGUGGGGUAGUGGCUUACCAAGGCUUUGACGGGUAGCCGGCCUGAGAGGGUGACCGGCCACAUUGGGACUGAGAUACGGCCCAGACUCCUACGGGAGGCAGCAGUGGGGAAUAUUGCACAAUGGGUGGAAGCCUGAUGCAGCAACGCCGUGUGCGGGAUGACGGCCUUCGGGUUGUAAACCGCUUUCGCUCAUGACGAAGCUUUGUGUGACGGUAGUGGGUAAAGAAGCACCGGCUAACUACGUG
rnacentral:rRNA from 1 species